GAUGAAGAACGCAGCGAAAUGCGAUAAGUAAUGUGAAUUGCAGAAUUCAGUGAAUCAUCGAAUCUUUGAACGCACAUUGCGCCCGCCAGUAUUCUGGCGGGCAUGCCUGUUCGAGCGUCAUUACAACCCUCAGGCCCCCGGGCCUGGCGUUGGGGAUCGGCGGAAGCCCCCUGUGGGCACACGCCGUCCCUCAAAUACAGUGGCGGUCCCGCCGCAGCUUCCAUUGCGUAGUAGCUAACACCUCGCAACUGGAGAGCGGCGCGGCCAUGCCGUAAAACACCCAACUUCUGAAUGUUGACCUCGAAUCAGGUAGGAAUACCCGCUGAACUUAAGCAUAUCAAUAAGCGGGGA
rnacentral:misc_RNA from 1 species